rnacentral:rRNA from 1 species
CGGGACGGGUGAGUAACGCGUGGGUAACCGUGCCUCACACAGGGGAGUAACAGUUAGAAAUGACUGCUAAUACCGCAUAAGCGCACGGUCUCGCAUGGGACAGUGUGAAAAACUACCGGUGGUGUGAGAUGGACCCGCGUCUGAUUAGCUAGUUGGUGGGGUAACGGCCUACCAAGGCGACGAUCAGUAGCCGACCUGAGAGGGUGACCGGCCACAUUGGGACUGAGACACGGCCCAA